GAUUCAUCCAAGUGUUGUUGAUUCUUCAAGAACACAGGAUUCAAGAAUGAGGGGCGCAUGGAGGCUUGCCGAAGGAGGCUUGCAUGGAAAGCUGCCAAAGCCAGGCAAUGUAUGGCUGGGUUGGAUUCCCUACAUCGAGGCCCUGAAAGGUGUGGUGGUGUCCGCCUGUGAUUCUGAACUUGGGAGAAUAUGAUAAAGAGAGUUACUACAGGUUUGAGGCCAGCAACGGUAACAGACCCGAUCCUCCUGCCUAGGAAUGGUGCUGCCCACAGUGGGCUUAAUCCUCCCACAUUAAUCAUCAGUCAAGACAAUCUCUUGUGGACAAUUCCUCAGUAGUUCAGAUUUCCUCUUCCCAGCAAAUAAUUGCUCAGAAAGAUAAACAGUUGACGGAGAUUCCUCUGGCCCAAGAAUUCUACCAUGUUGCCCAGAAAAGGGAGGCCUGGAGACUAUAUCAGAUGAGAAAUACCAAAGCUAGGAGCAACAACUCACCCAUGAUUGCUCAACCAGUGAAUGCUAAAUUCAAACCCAGUCAGCCAGUCAGCUGGUUUAGAGAGUGAAGACACUUGACUGACAUUCCCCGGGAAGAUGCUCUCAACAGUUGUACUGACUGGUUCCCUCUGCAACCCAGCCAACAUGCAGGAACAUGACUACUGACAAACCCAAGGGGCUGGGAUCACAGGUGUGUACCACCUUGGCUAACUGACUGGCACUCCUAGACCAUCAAUACCCUCCGUCCAAGAAUGCAGCCAAAAGUAUAGCUUCAGCCGGAUCAUAGAGCUCCACGGCACCAGUGCUACUGGAAAGCAGGCAUUCUGGGUAUAGUUUAUUGGGCGUGUACUGAAGUAUCGUCUCUACAGGUAAAGACUUAGUUCACCAGGAAGUUGAGAAGGCGCUGUUUCAGAUAGAGGAUAAUGGCGCUCAGGGUUUGUCAGACAGUAGGCAUGUAUUGAAUUGAGUUGUGAAUAUCCCUUUUACUUUUGCCUGGAAAGGAGUCACUCAACAAGUUCUCCCGCACCUCCCUACUUCUACCCUGUCCCCUGCCACAUGCCACAUGCUCUGUCUAGAAUUCUUUAGCUACUUUCUUCCUGUCGCAGGAUAAAGUCAAGACUCUAGCCUGGCUUGGUGUACAGAAUGAUGAAUCUCCUUUCUUCUCCCCGGGUCAGAGAAUAAUAACUCCACCAUCAUAGACUGUGUGAAUUGAAGGAAACAUUGUCCCCAGCAGCGCCUCUCAGUGGCGAGUCCUUUGCACAGGGCAGUGUGGCUCCUACUGAUCCCCAGGUUUUUGUGUCAGUGUUUCUUCAGCUAGAGACUUGUUUUACCUGGGACUCUAGCCUUGGGAAUACCUGAUUCUAUCCUGUCAUCUUUAGUCCUUCCUACGUAUUCCUCCUGUUAGGCUGGGGGUGGGGUGGGGUUGUUCUUUCUUCUUAAUUCUAAAGACUUUUGAGUCGUGCUCUACUCAGAGUCCCAGAGUUGGUUAUGAAGUCCAAUCUCCUACCCGGAUGUGGGAAGCCAUCCCCGCGCUGUCUUCCCGGGGGCCAUUAGCUUCUACUUGAGUGCUGUGAAUGCUGAUGAGCCAUACUUAGGAUGCUUGUUCCCAUUUUUCAACAGCUCUAAUUAAAUAAUGAAAACAUGCAAUUAUCUUUUUAGCCAUGAGUGUCUUGCCUUUUUAAUAAAAAUUUCAGUUCUUUCACAAGAACAAAGUAACUGCUCGAAAGGCAUUGAUUAUAUUUAUGCCUUAAAUGAUAAUUUCAUGACAUUAGUAGCUGAACUACUUUUCCCAUUUCCUUCUAACUAUACCAUUUGCUGGAGGAGAUGGCUUGCAUCAGAAGGCUUGCGAUUAUGGGAUGACAUCUAGAGUGGACUUUAGCACAAAGUCAAUAAAGAAAACCGUGACAACUGAGGUUGGUGUCUCUUGGUAUGUCACCCAACUUUGCUCAGGAGAAAUUUGGAGGCAAUACAUGGGGAGAACAUCACAUGACGUGAAGACAGAGCCUAGUGUGAUGCUUGCACAAGCCAAGGAAUGCCAGAGAUUGUGAGCAAGUGGCCCGAAGCAGGCAAGACCAGGGGAAGGAUCUCUCUCAGACCCUUAGAAAGGAGCAAACUUAUUGACAUCUUUACUUUGGACUUGAAAUCUCCAGAAAUUUGAGGCAAUGACUAAAUAUGUGUGCUUAGUAUUUGAGACAGAGAACAUGAGAGCAAUAUUCUGAUUUUGAGGGAUACUAGCCAUUAGCCCACAAUAUCCCAACAAUAUAUUGAAAGAUUCUGACCAUGAUACAGACCGCUGCUUUAAGGAGUGAUUUAGAAUGGUAAAAAAGGGGCUGGAGAGAUGGCUGAGUGGUUAAGAGCACUGACUGCUCUUCCAGAGGUCCUGAGUUCAAUUCCCAGCUAUCACAUGGUGGGUCACAGCUGAAAUGGGAUCUGAUGUCCUCUUCUGAUGGGUUUGAGAAUGCCUAUAGUGUGCUUGUAUACAUAAAAUAAAUAGUUCUUUUU